GAAGUUUGUUAAGGUCUUUUUUAGUCUAUUCUCAAAAUAUGAUGUCACUAACAACAAUAUAUCCAAUACCUUCAAUAGUUGCAUACUUCAAGCAAGAGAAAAGCCACUAAUUGAGAUACUUGAAGAUAUAUGGAGGGCAUUAAUGGUCUGAAUGGGGCAAAGAAAAAAUAAGACAUAAAGAAGAGGUAUGAAAAAAUUUGUUCAUGAAUUCAAGAGAAUAUUAAGACAAAUAAGUCCGAGAGU
rnacentral:lncRNA from 1 species